AACGAACGCUGGCGGCAUGCCUAACACAUGCGAGUCGAACGAGACCUUCGGGUCUAGUGGCGCACGGGUGCGUAACGCGUGGGAACCUGCCCUUAGGUUCGGAAUAACUCCCCGAAAGGGGUGCUAAUACCGGAUAAUGUCUUCGGACCAAAGAUUUAUCGCCUUUGGAUGGGCCCGCGUUGGAUUAGCUAGUUGGUAGGGUAAAAGCCUACCAAGGCGACGAUCCAUAGCUGGUCUGAGAGGAUGCUCAGCCACACUGGGACUGAGACACGGCCCAGACUCCUACGGGAGGCAGCAGUGGGGAAUAUUGGACAAUGGGCGAAAGCCUGAUCCAGCAAUGCCGCGUGAGUGAUGAAGGCCUUAGGGUUGUAAAGCUCUUUUACCCGGGAUGAUAAUGACAGUACCGGGAGAAUAAGCUCCGGCUAACUCCGUG
rnacentral:rRNA from 1 species